AACCUUAUGGACCUGCGGGCGUAUACCUGCGGAAGGAUCAUUACAGAGUGUUUAACCCCCUAUAAAAUGGUGGGUCUAACCUCCCGUCCUUUGCUGGGUCCCCCUUCUGGAGGACUUUCAAAACUUUCUGCUUCGGCGGGGUAUACCCGCCGGAACACCCUCAAAAAAUUCUUGAUCAAAAUGGUUCGGUCCGAGAAACUUUUUGUGAAAAUUAGCGAAAAACUUUUAACAAUGGAUCUC
rnacentral:misc_RNA from 1 species